CCCUUAGAUGUUGUGGGCCGCACGCGCGCUACACUGAUGCAUUCAACGAGUUUCUUCCUGGUCCGAGAGGAAUGGGUAACCUUUUGAAAGUGCAUCGUGAUAGGGAUAGACUAUUGCAAUUAUUGGUCUUCAACGAGGAAUUCCUAGUAGACGUAGUUCAUCAGACUGCAUCGAUUACGUCCCUGCCCUUUGUACACACCGCCCGUCGCUCCUACCGAUUGAAUGCUCAGGUGAGCCAUUCGGACUUUCAUCAUGCUGGUUUCCAGUUUUGAUGAAGGAAAGUCUUGCGAACCUUAUCAUUUAGAGGAAGGAGAAGUCGUAACA
rnacentral:rRNA from 1 species